GCUGCCCGGAGCGGGAGCGGUGUGGUGGCCCUGCGGUGGGGCGGCUCGGGCUCGCCCCGCCGCCGCGGGCGUGCAGGUCGGCCGCUGUGUGCGGCUGCCGGCCCCGGGCUCUGGCCCCGCGUGGAGCGCCGUCGACGCCGGGCCGCCCGGAGCCCGGAGCCCGGCCUGCGAGGCCGGAGCAGCCCCGCGCCCCUGGGCCUGGCGUCCCGGGUGCGCGGAGCGUCCGCAGCCCGCGCCUGUGGGUGCCGGGGUGCGCUCUCUCGGCGGAGCGCCCCGCGCGCCAGGCUGCUUUUCCGCGGCUUUGAUGGUGCUGUGGGCCUCUAAUAGCCGUUGCGAAACGCGGUGAGGAAACAGGGAUUUUUCCCCCCUUUAUGCCUCGACUUCGUUAAUGAUCGCGUAAUUUACAGUGAAUACUUGAAAGGAAGCGCCUCCCUCCACCCGCCCCGAGAGCAGUGCAUUGGAAAAGCCCUCGGAUGAUGAUGCCGAAACCGUCUCUCUCCAAAUUACAGCCGCCGAGGAGAACAGUUUGACUUCAUUUGCUACUAACGAGUGCCCAUUAAGGCAAUUAAAGCGAGGCCCGAGGAAAACACGCAGACCCAGCUCCGGGCUUGCGGCCCCGACACCCCGCUGGUGUCCGGUGCCCCUGGCCCUCAAGCACGAAGGCAACGUUCGGCCUUGCAGUGUCGCGGCAGUGCAGAGGAGGGGCCGCGUGGGGAGCCCUGACCGCUGGGCCUGCGGGGUCCGUCUCUGCUCUCCGGACGGUGGAGGGAGAGGCACGGCCCAGCAGCGCAGACCUGAUGGUGCUGGUGUCAACGUUGGAGCUGCCGCUUCUCGGGCUGCGUGCCCUGCGGACGGCUCUAGACUCCAGACCCGGAUAGCCCCUGGCAAGAUGAAAACCUCGGUAAUAAGCUCUGUUGGGAAAGUCUCAGGCUUGCCCAGAGCUCUGAGGUCGAAGUGAUGAACAAGUCCAGUUUUAAGCAGUGCUGCUGGCACGGCCUUUCGUGGCCAGGAACGGGGGCCCCCAGGAGCCAGCGUGGCCGCUGACCCGGCCACAAGGACGCCUCCAGGACCCGGGAUGCCCCUGGAAUUGCCAGUUUCUUUUGCACUCCCUCUGCUUCUGUCAGCAGGGGGAAGGAACCCUGCAGGAAGAGCCGGAUCCCCUUGGCUGGGUGAAUUUCUGCUACUUCCUGAGCCAUGUCCUUAGGCUGAUGUUCCUGUUAGUGUGAUGUCUGCAGUGGCUGGGACUGUGCUAGGGCUGAAUCCAGGAGCCAGAGCCUUCAUCCAGGUCUGCUGUGCAGGUGGCAAGAGCGUGCUACUUGAACCGUCACUGCUGCUUCCCCAGGAUCUGUGGGUGUGAGCUGGAGUCAGGAGCUUGAGGCAGGAGUGAACCCAGGCUCUCUGAUGUGGGACGUAGGCACCGUAACCACGAGGCUCAAUACCACUCCCUGAGCGAGUGCUUUGGAAGCAGCCGGAAACCAUCGAUGGGAGCACAGGUCUGCCCAGGACGGUGAUAUCCACGAAAGAAGCCCUGGGAUAGGGCCAGGAGACGAGAGACCAGACGUGGGACAGGGUGCUGCCAGAUGACGCCUGCGCUCGGCCCGACGGAACUGGCCAUCCCAUCGCAGCAGUGCCAGACGAGUUACACGGCGGACACGGCGGUGGGUGACUGCAGGAGCUGUCUCUCGUCCUCGCCUGGUGGAGCUUCGAGCCUGGAGAGACUGAAUGCACUCUGAGAACGCCUGCAAGAUUUCUCUCCCCUCUAAGCGCUGUCGCGAGGCCACGAGAUCACUGAUUUGAGCUGCCUGCGAUGUGUUUCUCUUGUACAGAGUUUGCUUAAGAAUUAACUUCAGCCAAUUCCACAUGACAGCUAUUACAUUGUAUUUCUUCAAUUAUAAGCUUGUGUCUUUUCAAAUGUUAAUGGCCCUGAAACCAGGCUGAGGCUUAAAAUUGAUUUUUAAAAGAAUUUGUCUUCCGUGCAGAUGUGGCCUCUGCCUGUCAGGUGUUGUCACCUAAUUUGAGUCAUUUGAUUUGGCAGAACCACCUAGAGUUGGGUUUUAUCUUAAAUUGAAUCCCUAAUUGUCACUUGCAAUGUCUUCAAGUAGAUUACAUUCCAGGGCAGCGGGGAAACAGGAGACAUUAUAGAGAGAAGGACCCGGGCGCAGAGCUGCAGGAGGGAGAGUCCUUGCAAUGAAGCAAACACCUGUGGCUGGAGACCCCCGAACUUGCUGUUGUCUUGAAAGUCAACAACCACUGGGCAGGGAGGACGUGGCCCCUGGCCUGCACCGCUCUCUCUGUCUGGUGUGAGACACACUGCGAAGGCUUGCACAGGCCAGGCAGUGCAGUCAGCCGGUGGCAAGAGAAGAGAUUAGCAAACAGGAGCCCUGCAGUGGAGAGUGCACGCGACUGGUCCAUGCGAACACAGGACAGAGGCUUAGGAGGGGUGACUCACUCUCGAGCUGACUUCAAGAGAAGCUGUCUACCUCCAGCCGCAGGAAUUCAAUUAAGGGAAAAACAGAACGUUGAGUUUCACCAAAUAGAAAGCCGAGAGCGUGCCAGUGCUCUUCUGUGUGCCGUGAAUUAUGCUGGCCUCCUUAAGGCACGAAAGAGUGAAGGUCACGAGUGUGAGCGAUGGCAAACGGCGUGUCUCCACCGCGCUCAGCAUCACUGUCAUCGGCCCAAGGUGAGUGCAACUUGAGACCGCUUCGUGUGGAGGCCUGGGCUUAGACUUGAAUGGUGGGGCAGGCACUGCGGUGUAGUAGGCUGAGCCUCUGCCUGUGGAGCUGGCAUCCUGGAUGCUCUUCCCAUCCAGCUCCCUGCUGUGGCCUGGAACAGCAGUGGAGGAUGGCCCAAGCCCUUGGCCCCUGCACCCAUGUGGGAGACCAGGAAGAAGUUCCUGGCUCCUGGCUUUGGAUUGGCUCAGCUCUGGUCAUUGCAGCCAUUUGGAGAGUGAACCAACGGAUAGAAGACUUUUCUCUCCUGCUCUCUGUCUAUAACUCCGCCUCUCAAAUAAAUAAAUAAAAUCUAUAUUAAAAAAAAACAAACUGGAAUCAUGAAGCUAGUGAAUAUAGUGUAAUGGGUGUCGUUGUCACCUAAGUUGUCUUUCACGUCAUUUAAUGUAGUUCUACCUUUUUUCCCCUUCCAAAACAAAGCUGUUAUUGAAUCUGUGGCUACCUUAUAAUUGUUGAAAUUCCAGCUGUCUCACUUCUGAGUCUUCGUAUCCAAAA